rnacentral:rRNA from 1 species
UCCAGACUCCUAUGGGAGGCAGCAGUGAGGAAUAUUGGUCAAUGGCCGAGAGGCUGAACCAGCCGAGUCGCGUGAAGGAUGACGGCCCUACGGGUUGUAAACUUCUUUUGUCAGGGAGCAAUUGGGUCCACGCGUGGGCUUAGCGAGAGUACCUGAAGAAAAAGCAUCGGCUAACUCCGUGCCAGCAGCCGCGGUAAUACGGAGGAUGCGAGCGUUAUCCGGAUUUAUUGGGUUUAAAGGGUGCGUAGGCGGAAUAUCAAGUCAGCGGUAAAAAUUCGGGGCUCAACCCCGUCGUGCCGUUGAAACUGAUGUUCUUGAGUGGGCGAGAAGUAUGCGGAAUGCGUGGUGUAGCGGUGAAAUGCAUAGAUAUCACGCAGAACUCCGAUUGCGAAGGCAGCAUACCGGCGCCCAACUGACGCUGAAGCACGAAAGCGUGGGUAUCGAACAGGAUUAGAUACCCC